rnacentral:tRNA from 1 species
CAAAUUAGAGCUUGAAUAUAAGCAUUUCAUUUACAUUGAAAAGAUAAUAUUAUUUAUUUAAUUUGA